rnacentral:rRNA from 1 species
GACUCUCGGCAACGGAUAUCUCGGCUCUCGCAUCGAUGAAGAACGUAGCAAAAUGCGAUACUUGGUGUGAAUUGCAGAAUCCCGUGAACCAUCGAGUCUUUGAACGCAAGUUGCGCCCGAAGCCAUCUGGCCGAGGGCACGCCUGCCUGGGCGUCACGCAUCG